rnacentral:rRNA from 1 species
UUGAACGCUGCCGGCAGGCCUAACACAUGCAAGUCGAGCGGUAACAGGGGUAGCUUGCUACCCGCUGACGAGCGGCGGACGGGUGAGUAAUGCAUAGGAAUCUGCCCGAUAGUGGGGGAUAACCUGGGGAAACCCAGGCUAAUACCGCAUACGUCCUACGGGAGAAAGGGGGCUUCGGCUCUCGCUAUUGGAUGAGCCUAUGUCGGAUUAGCUAGUUGGUGAGGUAAUGGCUCACCAAGGCAACGAUCCGUAGCUGGUCUGAGAGGAUGAUCAGCCACAUCGGGACUGAGACACGGCCCGAACUCCUACGGGAGGCAGCAGUGGGGAAUAUUGGACAAUGGGCGAAAGCCUGAUCCAGCCAUGCCGCGUGUGUGAAGAAGGCCCUCGGGUUGUAAAGCACUUUCAGCGAGGAAGAACGCCUAGUGGUUAAUACCCAUUAGGAAAGACAUCACUCGCAGAAGAAGCACCGGCUAACUCCGUGCCAGCAGCCGCGGUAAUACGGAGGGUGCAAGCGUUAAUCGGAAUUACUGGGCGUAAAGCGCGCGUAGGUGGCUUGAUAAGCCGGUUGUGAAAGCCCCGGGCUCAACCUGGGAACGGCAUCCGGAACUGUCAAGCUAGAGUGCAGGANAGGAAGGUAGAAUUCCCGGUGUAGCGGUGAAAUGCGUA